rnacentral:lncRNA from 1 species
AUAUUUGAAUUUUGGUGAAACACGGUCAGAAUGAGUUUCAGAAUCCCCUGUUCCAACUUUGAAAAAUCAGUAAACAUUGUACAAAAAUAAUUAUGGAGUAUAAUUUAUAUGUUUGAAAUCCUUAAUACGUCUAUUUUCAAGUGAAAUAAACGAGAACAUCAUAUGAAUUUUGUAUGAGGAGAAAAUUGAUUCGUUGUGAAGAAGUGUCAGAACUGUUGGACAGCAAAAC